CCAUGGAGCUUUACUGUAGCUUGACAUUGGGUCUUGGUACUACAUGUACAGGAUAGGUGGGAGGCUUUGAAACCAGGACGCCAGUUUUGGCGGAGCCAUCCUUGGGAUACCACCCUUGUAGUACUGGGACUCUAACCAUAGGCCAUGAAUCUGGUCUUGGGACACUGUCAGGUGGGCAGUUUGACUGGGGCGGUCGCCUCCCAAAAGGUAACGGAGGCGCUCAAAGGUUCUCUCAGUACGGUCGGAAAUCGUACGUAGAGUGUAAAGGCAAAAGAGAGCUUGAUUGCAAGACAUACAGGUCGAGCAAGGAUGAAAAUCGGACUUAGUGAUCCGGUGGUUCUGCGUGGAAGGGCCAUCGCUCAACGGAUAAAAGCUACCCUGGGGAUAACAGGCUUAUCUCCCCCAAGAGUCCACAUCGACGGGGAGGUUUGGCACCUCGAUGUCGGCUCAUCACAUCCUGGGGCUGUAGUAGGUCCCAAGGGUUGGGCUGUUCGCCCAUUAAAGUGGUACGCGAGCUGGGUUCAGAACGUCGUGAGACAGUUCGGUCCCUAUCCGUCGCAGGCGUAGGAAAUUUGAGAAGACCUGUCCUUAGUACGAGAGGACCGGGAUGGACGUACCUCUGGUGUACCAGUUGUUCUGCCAAGGGCAUGGCUGGGUAGCUAUGUACGGAAUGGAUAAGCGCUGAAAGCAUCUAAGCGCGAAGCCAACUUCAAGAUAAGAUUUCCCACCGCAAGGGUAAGACCCCAGAAAGACUAUCUGGUUGAUAGGUCGAAGGUGUAAGUGCAGCAAUGUAUUUAGCUUAUCGAUACUAAUAG
rnacentral:rRNA from 1 species